UGGUGGUUGAUGGUAGUGCUUUUUGUUUUGUUUUGUUGUGGGGCCUGGGGUUGAGGGAAAUGAUUUUUUUCCUACUCAAAAUGCACAACCAAAACAAUAAGGCUUUGCUGCUGGAAGAAAUGAAUAGUGUAGACAGAAAUGUGGACUAGGUGAAUAAAAAAAAAUGAGAGAAAUCAAUGGUGAUUUUUUUAUUUGCUCCGUUUUACCUAGUAUCGUCAUCUAGCACCAUCCAUCAGACAUUUCUUUGACACUUGAAAUUGUUUUUCACCUUUGAAAAACUCUCUGGUUCUUACUUUCUCCUUUGGGGGUGGGGAGUAGGCAAAGGGAGGAGCAUGACUGGGUAGAAGGAAGACUGGAUUUGGACAGAGUGAAAAUGAAUUUCAAUUUGUACUGAACGUUCUUGUGGAUCCAACUUUGAGUCAGUUUCAGUUUCUCUUUCUGUAGAGCCCCCUCCAAGUCGACUGCUUGCCUUACCGGAGGCAGUCUCUGGAGGCAGCAUUCAGGUUUGCAUUUAAAAAGCUACUUAGCACUGCUAUCCAGGAAUUCUGAGUUCUGUCCCAGCACCUGUUGCUCCGCGAGCCCACUGGCAGUUAAGGAACCAUGUGGCGGGAUCUGGGGUCAGAAGAAAUCUGGGCCAGGGCAACCAAGGCAGAGACCACUCUGAGCCUUGGUUUAUGUUAUCGAUUAUAGAGUCAUACGAACGCUGGAAAAAAAUGACUCUGAGCACUAGUGACACUGGUAUCACAAAAGAUAAACUAAUGGAGUUAGAUAAGACUUGGGAUCUGAUUCAAUGUCUGGAAAAAACAGAGAAAGAAUUGGAUCCCCCUCGAUCUUCUUCUGCCAUUGAGAUAACUGUAAUGUCUAAGUCCACAAAAAAGUGUAAAUCUAAAAAGAUGAAGUAUGAAUCAGAUGCAGAGAGUCCUGUGUCAGAGAAGUCAAACGUCCUUGUGCCUAUUCUAUCGGUGAACAAACUCAAUCCUCAAGACUCAGAGUCCUCUGUGAAAAAUGAGACAAGAAUUAGAGAACAAAACUCAUUAUAUGUAUCUGAGCGUAAUAAGAAAAGAGAUCUUAAACAAAUUGCCCUACAGACACAGAAAAAGACCUUCCUAGAAGCAAUUAGAAUGGAAGAAAAAAUAGAAUAUAAGUAUAUUAAAGAUAUUCUCUCCCUGCUUGGAGAAAUUAACAAAAACCUUCCCAGACUUUCAGAAGACUCAGACAAAAUCUGGAGAGGAGUAAAUGUACAAGGUCAUUUUAGAUAGAUACUGUUUAGGGUUGAUCCAAGUAUGGGGUUGCAUCAAUGUAGAGGACUCUUUCCUCUCUAUAUUUCAUAUAGUCAGAAGGCUUCUAACUUGAUGACAUGGUCAAUAAAUUUCUCUGUGGAAAAAAAAAAAAACA
rnacentral:lncRNA from 1 species